GGGCCCGCACAAGCGGUGGAGCAUGUGGUUUAAUUCGAUGAUACGCGAGGAACCUUACCAGGGUUUAAAUGCAGAACGACAGGGGUGGAAACACCCCCUUCUUCGGACGGACUGCAAGGUGCUGCAUGGUUGUCGUCAGCUCGUGCUGUGAAGUGUCGGGUUAAGUCCCAUAACGAGCGCAACCCCCAUUUCUAGUUGCCAGCGGUUCGGCCGGGGACUCUAGAGAAACUGCCAGCGUAAGCUGUGAGGAAGGUGUGGAUGACGUCAAGUCCUCAUGGCCCUUACGGGUUGGCUACACACGUGCUACAAUGGUGGUGACAAUGGGUUAAUCCCAAAAAGCCAUCUCAGUUCGGAUUGGGGUCUGCAACUCGACCCCAUG
rnacentral:rRNA from 1 species